CUCAUUAGAAACUGGGUGCGGCGAUUAUGUCUCCUUCACAAAACCUUACACCUUUGGAGCGUUAAAACUCUGUGAUACCCAGACUGGAGAUAUAAUGCUUCCCUCGUACAACACUGUUGGUACAUUCUUGAGCAACGCCGUCGCUGCCAACGCAGCUGGUUUCAACCUGACCAUUACGAAAAUGACCUCCAGCUGCCACCAGGUCAUCAACCUCACAAGCGGUGGCAGUGCUACUCUAACUGCUCCCUCUACAAGUAACAAUGUCUGGACGAGCAAGGCUUGUGAAUGGUGGAUUGAG